AUUGAACGCUGGCGGCAUGCCUUACACAUGCAAGUCGAACGGUAACAGGGAGCUUGCUCCGCUGACGAGUGGCGAACGGGUGAGUAAUGUAUCGGGAACGUACCUUUCAGUGGGGGAUAACGUAGCGAAAGUUACGCUAAUACCGCAUAUUCUGUGAGCAGGAAAGCAGGGGAUCGCAAGACCUUGCGCUGAUUGAGCGGCCGAUAUCAGAUUAGCUAGUUGGUGAGGUAAAGGCUCACCAAGGCGACGAUCUGUAGCGGGUCUGAGAGGAUGAUCCGCACACUGGAACUGAGACACGGUCCAGACUCCUACGGGAGGCAGCAGUGGGGAAUUUUUGGACAAUGGGGGCAACCCUGAUCCAGCCAUGCCGCGUGAGUGAAGAAGGCC
rnacentral:rRNA from 1 species